rnacentral:rRNA from 1 species
UCGGAGAGCUUCGGCAGGAAGAUUUCAUAUUUUAGCGGCGGACGGGUGAGUAACGUGUGGGCAACCUGCCCUGUACUGUGGAAUAAUCACUGGAAACGGUGACUAAUACCGCAUGUCAUUGCGAGAGGGCAUCCUCUUGCAAGAAAAGGAUUUAUUCGGUACAGGAUGGGCCCGCAUCUGAUUAGCUAGUUGGUGAGAUAACAGCCCACCAAGGCAACGAUCAGUAGCCGACCUGAGAGGGUGAUCGGCCACAUUGGGACUGAGACACGGCCCAAACUCCUACGGGAGGCAGCAGUGGGGAAUAUUGCACAAUGGGCGAAAGCCUGAUGCAGCAACGCCGCGUGAAGGAAGAAGGGUUUCGGCUCGUAAACUUCUAUCAACAGGGACGAAAAAAAUGACGGUACCUGAAUAAGAAGCCCCGGCUAACUACGUGCCAGCAGCCGCGGUAAUACGUAGGGGGCAAGCGUUAUCCGGAAUUACUGGGUGUAAAGGGAGAGUAGGCGGCAUGGUAAGUUAGAUGUGAAAGCCCGAGGCUUAACCUCGGGAUUGCAUUUAAAACU